rnacentral:rRNA from 1 species
CCUACGGGAUGCAGCAGUCGAGAAUCAUUCACAAUGGGGGAAACCCUGAUGGUGCGACGCCGCGUGGGGGAAUGAAGGUCUUCGGAUUGUAAACCCCUGUCAUGUGGGAGCAAAUUAAAAAGAUAGUACCACAAGAGGAAGAGACGGCUAACUCUGUGCCAGCAGCCGCGGUAAUACAGAGGUCUCAAGCGUUGUUCGGAAUCACUGGGCGUAAGGCGUGCGUAGGCUGUUUCGUAAGUCGUGUGUGAAAGGCGCGGGCUCAACCCGCGGACGGCACAUGAUACUGCGAGACUAGAGUAAUGGAGGGGGAACCGGAAUGCUCGGUGUAGCAGUGAAAUGCGUAGAUAUCGAGAGGAACACUCGUGGCGAAGGCGGGUUCCUGGACAUUAACUGACGCUGAGGCACGAAGGCCAGGGGAGCGAAAGGGAUUAGAUACCCGAGUAGUC